GACGAACGCUGGCGGCGUGCUUAACACAUGCAAGUCGAACGGUAAGGCCCUUCGGGGUACACGAGUGGCGAACGGGUGAGUAACACGUGGGUGAUCUGCCCUGCACUUCGGGAUAAGCCUGGGAAACUGGGUCUACUACCGGAUAGGACCACUGCCCGCAUGGGUGGUGGGGGAAAGCUUUUGCGGUGUGGGAUGGGCCCGCGGCCUAUCAGCUUGUUGGUGGGGUGAUGGCCUACCAAGGCGACGACGGGUAGCCGGCCUGAGAGGGUGACCGGCCACACUGGGACUGAGAUACGGCCCAGACUCCUACGGGAGGCAGCAGUGGGGAAUAUUGCACAAUGGGCGCAAGCCUGAUGCAGCGACGCCGCGUGAGGGAUGACGGCCUUCGGGUUGUAAACCUCUUUCAGCACCGACGAAGCGCAAGUGACGGUAGGUGCAGAAGAAGGACCGGCCAACUACGUGCCAGCCGCCGCAGUAACAC
rnacentral:rRNA from 1 species